rnacentral:rRNA from 1 species
CCUACGGGAGGCAGCAGUAGGGAAUCUUCCACAAUGGACGAAAGUCUGAUGGAGCAACGCCGCGUGAGUGAUGAAGGUUUUCGGAUCGUAAAACUCUGUUGUAAGGGAAGAACAAGUACGUUAGGAAAUGAACGUACCUUGACGGUACCUUAUUAGAAAGCCACGGCUAACUACGUGCCAGCAGCCGCGGUAAUACGUAGGUGGCAAGCGUUGUCCGGAUUUAUUGGGCGUAAAGCGCGCGCAGGCGGUUUCUUAAGUCUGAUGUGAAAGCCCACGGCUUAACCGUGGAGGGUCAUUGGAAACUGGGAGACUUGAGUGCAGAAGAGGAAAGUGGAAUUCCAAGUGUAGCGGUGAAAUGCGUAGAGAUUUGGAGGAACACCAGUGGCGAAGGCGACUUUUCUGGUCUGCAACUGACGCUGAGGCGCGAAAGCAUGGGGAGCAAACAGGAUUAGAUACCCUGGUAGUCCAUGCCGUAAACGAUGAGUGCUAAGUGUUAGGGGGUUUCCGCCCCUUAGUGCUGCAGCUAACGCAUUAAGCACUCCGCCUGGGGAGUACGACCGCAAGGUUGAAACUCAAAGGAAUUGACGGGGGCCCGCACAAGCGGUGGAGCAUGUGGUUUAAUUCGAAGCAACGCGAAGAACCUUAC